UACGAAGGGGGCGAGCGUUGUUCGGAAUUACUGGGCGUAAAGGGCGCGUAGGCGGCCCUCUUUGUCGCGUGUGAAAGCCCCGGGCUCAACCUGGGAACGGCGCGCGAAACGGGGGGGCUGGAGUUCGGGAGAGGAGCGUGGAAUUCCCAGUGUAGAGGUGAAAUUCGUAGAUAUUGGGAAGAACACCGGUGGCGAAGGCGGCGCUCUGGACCGAGACUGACGCUGAGGCGCGAAGGCCAGGGGAGCAAACGGG
rnacentral:rRNA from 1 species